rnacentral:rRNA from 1 species
GACGAACGCUGGCGGCGUGCUUAACACAUGCAAGUCGAACGGAAAGGCCUGCUUUCCCUUGUGGAUUGCGGGUACUCGAGUGGCGAACGGGUGAGUAACACGUGAGUGAUCUGCCCCCAACUUGGGUAUAAGCCUGGGAAACUGUGUCUAAUUCCCGAUAGGACUGCAGGGUGGUGCCUGUGGUGGAAAACGAUUUUCUAGUGGUUGGGGAUGAGCUCGCGGCCUAUCAGCUUGUUGGUGGGGUAAUGGCCUACCAAGGCGGCGACGGGUAGCCGGCCUGAGAGGGUGGACGGCCACAUUGGGACUGAGAUACGGCCCAGACUCAUACGGGAGGCAGCAGUGGGGAAUAGUGCACAAUGGGCGGAAGCCUGAUGCAGCGACGCCGCGUGGGGGAUGACGGCCUUCGGGUUGUAAACUCCUUUCGACCGCGAGGAAGCCACCUGGUUGGAAGGGUGGUGACGGUAGUGGUAGAAGAAGCACCGGCUAACUACGUG